rnacentral:rRNA from 1 species
AAAUAGAUACCCAGGUAGUCCACGCCGUGAACGAUGAGUGCUAAGUGUUGGAGGGUUUCCGCCUUUCAGUGCUGCAGCUAACGCAUUAAGCACUCCGCCUGGGGGAGUACGGUCGCAAGACUGAAACUCAAAGGAAUUGACGGGGGCCCGCACAAGCGGUGGAGCAUGUGGUUUAAUUCGAAGCAACGCGAAGAACCUUACCAGGUCUUGACAUCUCCUGACCGCCCUGGAGACAGGGUCUUCCCUUCGGGGACAGGAUGACAGGUGGUGCAUGGUUGUCGUCAGCUCGUGUCGUGAGAUGUUGGGUUAAGUCCCGCAACGAGCGCAACCCUUGGUUCUAGUUGCCAGCAUUCAGUUGGGCACUCUAGAGCGACUGCCGGCGACAAGUCGGAGGAAGGUGGGGAUGACGUCAAAUCAUCAUGCCCCUUAUGACCUGGGCUACACACGUGCUACAAUGGAUGGUACAAAGGGCAGCAAAGCGGCGACGCAUGAGCGAAUCCCAGAAAACCAUUCUCAGUUC